CGUCAGCUCGUGGUCGUGGAGAUGUUGGGUUAAGUCCCGCAACGAGCGCAACCCCUAUUGUUAGUUGCCAUCAUUCAGUUGGGCACUCUAGCGAGACUGCCGGUAAUAAACCGGAGGAAGGUGGGGAUGACGUCAAAUCAUCAUGCCCCUUAUGACCUGGGCUACGCACGUGCUACAAUGGUUGGUACAACGAGUUGCGAGUCGGUGACGGCGAGCUAAUCUCUUAAAGCCAAUCUCAGUUCGGAUUGUAGGCUGCAACUCGCCUACAUGAAGUCGGAAUCGCUAGUAAUCGCGGAUCAGCACGCCGCGGUGGAAUACGUUCCCGGGCCUU
rnacentral:rRNA from 1 species